rnacentral:rRNA from 1 species
UACGAAGGGUGCAAACGUUGCUCGGAAUCAUUGGGCGUAAAGCGCACGUAGGCGGCCCUGCAAGUCGGAUGUGAAAUCCCUCGGCCCAACCGAGGACGUGCAUUCGAAACUGCUUGGCUCGAGUAUGGAAGAGGGUCGCGGAAUUCCCGGUGUAGAGGUGAAAUUCGUAGAUAUCGGGAGGAACACCAGUGGCGAAGGCGGCGACCUGGGCCAAUACUGACGCUGAGGUGCGAAAGCGUGGGGAGCAAACAGG